AUCGAACGCUGGCGGCAGGCCUAACACAUGCAAGUCGAGCGGAUGAAGGGUGCUUGCUUCUGGUUUCCGCGGCGGAAGGGUGAGUAAUGCCUAGGAAUCUGCCUGGUAGUGGGGGAUAAUGUCCGGAAACGGGUGCUGAUACCGCAUACGUCCUGAGGGUGCAAGAGGGGGGGCUUUGGACCUCACGCUAUCAGAUGAACCUAGGUCGGUUUAGUUAGUUGGUGGGGUAAAGACCUACUUAGCAGGCGAUCGGCAACUGGACUGAGUGAAAGAUUAGUCGCACUGGAACUGGGACGCGGACCAGACUCCUGCGAGAGGCAGCAGUGUGGAAUGUGGGGCAGUGGGCGGAAGCCUGAUCCAAUCAGGCCACGUGUGAGGAGGAAGUCUUCGGAUUGGAAAGCACGUUUUGUUGGUGGGAAGGGCAGUAAGUUGUGACGUUGCUGUUUUGACGGUACUAGCAAAAUAAGCACCGGCUAACUACGUG
rnacentral:rRNA from 1 species